rnacentral:rRNA from 1 species
UACGGGGGGGGGCAAGCGUUGUUCGGAAUUACUGGGCGUAAAGGGCUCGUAGGCGGCCAACUAAGUCGGAUGUGAAAUCCCCAGGCUUAACCUGGGAACUGCAUCCGAUACUGGAUGGCUUGAAUCCGGGAGAGGGAUGCGGAAUUCCAGGUGUAGCGGUGAAAUGCGUAGAUAUCUGGAGGAACACCGGUGGCGAAGGCAGCCCCCUGGGUCAAGAUUGACGCUCAUGCACGAAAGCGUGGGGAGCAAACAGG